rnacentral:rRNA from 1 species
UGGGGAAUAUUGCACAAUGGGCGAAAGCCUGAUGCAGCAACGCCGCGUGAGUGAUGAAGGCCUUCGGGUUGUAAAGCUCUGUCUUCUGGGACGAUAAUGACGGUACCAGAGGAGGAAGCCACGGCUAACUACGUGCCAGCAGCCGCGGUAAUACGUAGGUGGCAAGCGUUGUCCGGAUUUACUGGGCGUAAAGGAUGCGUAGGCGGAUACUUAAGUCAGAUGUGAAAAUCCCGGGCUUAACUUGGGAACUGCAUUUGAAACUGGGUAUCUAUAGUGCGGGAGAGNAAAGUGGAAUUCCUAGUGUAGCGGUGAAAUGCGUAGAGAUUAGGAAGAACACCAAUGGCGAAGGCGACUUUCUGGACCGUAACUGACGCUGAGGCAUGAAAGCGUGGGGAGCAAACA